rnacentral:rRNA from 1 species
GGACCCGCACAAGUAGUGGAGCAUGUGGUUUAAUUCGAAGAUACGCGCAGAACCUUACCAACACUUGACAUGUUCGUCGCGACUCUAAGAGAUUAGAGUUUUCGGUUCGGCCGGACGAAACACAGGUGCUGCAUGGCUGUCGUCAGCUCGUGUCGUGAGAUGUUGGGUUAAGUCCCGCAACGAGCGCAACCCUCACUUUUAGUUGCCAUCAUUAAGUUGGGCACUCUGAAAGAACUGCCAGUGAUAAGCUGGAGGAAGGUGGGGAUGACGUCAAGUCCUCAUGGCCCUUACGUGUUGGGCUACACACGUGCUACAAUGGUAUCUACAACAGGAAGCAAGACUGCGAAGUUGCGGUGAAUACGUUCUCGGGGUUUGUACACACCGCCCGUCAAGUCACGGAAGUCGGCAAU